UACGUAGGGUGCAAGCGUUAAUCGGAAUUACUGGGCGUAAAGCGUGCGCAGGCGGUUGUGCAAGACAGAUGUGAAAUCCCCGGGCUCAACCUGGGAAUUGCAUUUGUGACUGCACGGCUAGAGUGUGUCAGAGGGGGGUAGAAUUCCACGUGUAGCAGUGAAAUGCGUAGAGAUGUGGAGGAAUACCGAUGGCGAAGGCAGCCCCCUGGGAUAACACUGACGCUCAUGCACGAAAGCGUGGGGGAGCAAACAGG
rnacentral:rRNA from 1 species